rnacentral:lncRNA from 1 species
GAUGGAUGGAUGGAUGGAUGGACGGAUGGAUAGGUAGACGGGAUGGAGAGACGGAUGGAUGAAUAGGUGGUUGCAUGGAUGGAUGGAUGAAUGAACAGGUGGAUGGAUGGAUGGAUGGAUGAAUAGGUGGAUGGAUGGAUGACUGGAUGUUUACAGUUUAGAGUAAAAAGGUUACCUGGAACAGUUGUGAAACAGGAAAGGGCUGGAAGGAAAACAGGGCUAGUGCCAUCAUUAACUAAUUAACUCCUUCUAGGGCACUGACCAGCACCACCCUGACACGUAGGCCUUGGGUCAGUGUUGGUUUAGGUGACUAAAUCACUCAGCAGCUUUUGUUCUAGCUCUCAACCCCCUCUCUUUCCUUGCUUUGUGACAGCUUGCUUGCCUAGUUUUCCUCAUUCCUUUCCAGCCAUUCCCUCUCAGACUUCCUACAUGAUUUUCCUCUACCUAAACUCCCGACGUUGGAGUUGUCCAGACUCAGUCCUAGGCCCUGUUUCAUUCUGUACUUCCCUCUUGGGUGACCUCACCCAUUCCCAUGAUUUUAAAAACUCUCUUUAUCCUGAUGGCUCUCAAAUUUAUCAUUUGUGGCCAGACCUCUCUUCUGAGCGCUGGAUUCAUAUACACAGUUACCUACUCUUCAACUCUACUUUGAUGUCUCAGAGGCACCUGAAGUGCAACGUGUCUGAAACAGAGCAGUUCCCCCUUCCGUCCUGUCUGCUCCUGCUUCGGGGUUUCUGUUCUCAGUACUGGCACCUGCAUCCACCCUGUUGCUCAGAUGAGAAAUCUGGGGAGGAUUCUUGGUUCUACUUUACCCCCCACCCCACACACAGAAAAUACAUCCCCAACACUUGUCAUUUACAUCUCCCAAAUUGAUCCCGAAUCCUUCUCUUCUUUCCACUCUAUUGUCAUAACCUGGGACAGUGAAGCCAGCAUAGUUUCUCCUCUGGACCCCUCAAAUGGGCUCCUAAUGGGCCUCCCUGCUCCCACUGUUGCUUCCCAGUUAUCAGUCCAUGUUGUCACUGGAAUGACCUCUUAAAAUAAACAAAAAAAAUGAUGCAUCUGCUUAAAACUCUUUCGUUGCUUCCCACUGCGCUUCCGAUAAAAUCUCUUAACCUGGCUAGAAGACCUGACACAGUGUGGCUCCUGCGAGCUCUCUAGCUCAUCCCAGUUCACGCUCUGCUCAUUCACCUCUGGCCACACUGGCAUUUAAGGUCCUCAGGUAAGCUCAGCUCUUCCCUGCCCUUUGUUCAUGGGGUUCCCUGGCCUGGAAUGUCCUUCUCCCCCUUCCCUCUGGAUGGUUAAUUCCUACUUCUUUUUCAGGGUUCAGCCUAAAUGUCACUCCCUCAGGAUAGCAGGUCCUGGCACCCCCCAUCUAUGUAAUCUCCCCAGUCUUAGUCCAUUAUGGCUGCUAUAACAGAAUACCAUGGACUGGGUGGCUUUUAAACAAUAGAAAUUUAUUUCUCACAGUUCUGAGAACGAGGAAGUCCGGAACUGGGAGACUGGGAAGUCCAAGUUCAAGGUGCUGGCAGAUUUAGCAUCUGGAAUGUGGACUUGAGAAUCAGAGAUGAUGUCAGUCUUGCUGGUUGCCUGCAUUGAAGACAAGUCCUCCAGGAGCUGUGGGAACGAUUCUCCUGCUGGAGAAGAGAAUGUGGGGAAAGCAAGAGGAGAGACCCCCACAAGAGGAGAGACCCCCACAAGAGGAGAGACAUAGAGCCAGUGAUGGAGAAACAGAGAGAGAUCCAGACACAGGGACAGAGACCCAAAGAGAGGCAGAUAUGCUCCUGCCUACUCUGGUUUUAUUUUGUUUUGUUUUCUCAUGCGAUCCCAGAAUCCUUACAUCAACCCUUUUAACCUGGGCUAGGCUCUGUGCGUUUCCAUAACCUGAAACCAACAUGAGCUGGUUGGAGAUGAAGACAGAACAACUGGAAGAAGUUCCCUUAGCAAUUUAAGCAAAGAAUAUAUAUCUUGAGUCAAUCAUUACAACUGACCCAGUAACAAAGUUCAGGAACGGGGGCAUGAGCUCUCCACAGCCCUGUUCAUUUGCCAGUUACCUGUCUCGGGCUUUCGAAGGC